UGCUCUGUGGUGAAAAGGCAACACGUUGCACUUUGACUGCAAUAUUUCUAGGUUCGAGUCCUAGCAGAGCAA
rnacentral:tRNA from 1 species